GAUAGACCAACGACUAAGACUUAUUCAAACACCAAUAUUUCUUAAUAGGGGAUUAGGGAUAUCUUAACUCCCAACCAAGAAAAACUAAUAUCCAAAAAUUGAAGAAGGAGAAUUCCAGCACUUGCCAUCAGAUAUGUACAUUGCCGCCUCAUCUACAAGAGAUAUUCUUCGACGGAAGAGAUGGAGCAUAGAAAAUCUGGACCAAGCCAGAAUUUAUUAUUCGAUGAAGUAGAAAAAUAUAUUACAAUAAAUGUAUCUGGACAUGCCAGAUUUUUAAUCCGAUCUAUGAUCGAAAUUUGUCACCCUCUCUCUCUAAAAAAUAUGAAAGAGAGAAAAGAGAAAGACUCGCCAGUAAUGCUGUUA
rnacentral:lncRNA from 1 species